rnacentral:ncRNA from 1 species
AAGCUUCAUACGGAUCACGGUGCCCGCAAGGGUGAAAAGGGAAGAGGGGUGUAGUUCCGCAAGGCAACGAGUCCCCCGCGGACCCGCCGCUGUAAGCGAGGACAAAGGGCAAGGAUGUCACUGGUCGCAAGAUCGGGAAGACUGCCCGGAGGAUGAAUCGCAAGCCAGAAGACCUGCCUGAUCCCGGCACGCACC